UAUGAGGAUGAUUGGUGAUGGCCUGA
rnacentral:piRNA from 1 species